rnacentral:rRNA from 1 species
AAUCUUCCACAAUGGACGGAAGUCUGACGGAGCAACGCCGCGUGAGCGAAGAAGGUUUUCGGAUCGUAAAGCUCUGUUGUAAGGGAAGAACACGUACGGGAGUCACUGCCCGUACCUUGACGGUACCGUAUCAGAAAGCCACGGCGAACUACGUCCCAGCACCCGCGGUAAAACGUAGGUGGCAAGCGUUGUCCGGAAUUAUUGGGCGUAAAGCGCGCGCAGGCGGUCCUUUAAGUCUGAUGUGAAAGACCACGGCUCAACCGUGGAGGGUCAUUGGAAUCUGGAGGACUUGAGUACAGAAGAGGAAAGCGGAAUUCCACGUGUAGCGGUGAAAUGCGUAGAGAUGUGGAGGAACACCAGUGGCGAAGGCGGCUUUCUGGUCUGUAACUGACGCUGAGGCGCGAAAGCGUGGGGAGCAAGCAG